UACGUAGGGGGCCAGCGUUGCUCGGAAUUACUGGGCGUAAAGGGUUCGUAGGUGGUGCGGCAAGUUGGAAGUGAAAUCUCUGGGCUUAACCCAGAGGCUGCUUUCAAAACUGCCGUGCUCGAGUGCGAGAGAGGUCAGUGGAAUUGCAGGUGUAGCGGUGAGAUGCGUAGAUAUCUGGAGGAACACCAGUGGCGAAGGCGGCUGACUGGAUCACAACUGACACUGAGGAGCGAAAGCGAGGGGAGCAAACAGG
rnacentral:rRNA from 1 species